rnacentral:misc_RNA from 1 species
AAGUCGUAACAAGGUUUCCGUAGGUGAACCUGCGGAAGGAUCAUUAGCGAGAGCCUGCGCCCUGCCUGUGCGGGGGAGCAAGCGCGCCAUCCUUGUGUUGUGUGUGUGGUGGUGUGCGUGUGUGUGCCGUCCUGCUGUGUGUGGGGUGGCGCAUGCGCGCAUGCACAUUUUUCACCCAUAUCCAAUCGUCGUUUAUUCUAAUGUCAUGGCUCACACGAGCACACAAAAACAACCGAAAACUGCCAGCAAUGGAUCACUCGGUUCUC